AUACUUACCUGAUGCCCGGGCCUCGUUGAUCACCGAUGAUGAGCUUCCAGGGUGAGGAGCGGGCAUUGCACCGCGCUCACGUUGACCCCUGCGGCUUCCUCAAAGUGGGGCAGAUGGGGAAUAAAAAUUCC
rnacentral:snRNA from 1 species